UUCUUUUUUUUCUGUUUUUUUUUUUUUUCCUGCUUUUUGCUUUUGCCUUUCUUGUUUCUUUUUUGUUCUCUUCUUUUUCCAAACUGUAAACGAUGGGGAACGGGCAGGCCCAUGAGGUCGAUGCCUAUGAGGAAUCAAAAGGAAAGAAACUCCAUAUUAUGGUUUCUGAGCAGUUAAAACAUGAAACAAAAUUCGACACACAUCAACUCAAUGAACUUUACGUUCAAUUUGCCGCGGAGAAUCCUGCUGGAACAAUUAGGAGAGACCAUUUCAUUAACCACAACAUGAAACUCACAAACUUUGGUUCUGAAGAAUUUUGGGGGCAUGUGUUUGAACUCUUUGAUCAGGACGGCAAUGGAGAGGUAACGUUUGUCGAGUGGGCUGUUCUUCUUUC
rnacentral:ribozyme from 1 species